UACAGAGGGUGCAAGCGUUAGUCGGAUUUACUGGGCGUAAAGGGUGCGUAGGUGGUUUUGUAAGUCGGAUGUGAAAGCCUGGGGCUCAACCUCAGAAUUGCACUCGAUACUGCAAGACUAGAGUUCGGUAGAGGGCGGCGGAAUUCCCGGUGUAGCGGUGAAAUGCGUAGAUAUCGGGAGGAACAUCAAUGGCGAAGGCAGCCGCCUGGGCCUGAACUGACACUGAGGCACGAAAGCGUGGGUAGCAAACAGG
rnacentral:rRNA from 1 species